AUUGAACGCUGGCGGCAUGCCUUACACAUGCAAGUCGAACGGUAACAGGUCUUCGGAUGCUGACGAGUGGCGCACGGGUGAGUAAUACAUCGGAACGUGCCCGAUCGUGGGGGAUAACGAAGCGAAAGCUUUUCUAAUACCGUAUACGAUCUACGGAUGAAAGCAGGGGACCGCAAGGCCUUGCGCGAACGGAGCGGCCGAUGGCAGAUUAGGUAGUUGGUGGGAUAAAAGCUUACCAAGCCGACGAUCUGUAGCUGGUCUGAGAGGACGACCAGCCACACUGGGACUGAGACACGGCCCAGACUCCUACGGGAGGCAGCAGUGGGGAAUUUUGGACAAUGGGCGAAAGCCUGAUCCAGCCAUGCCGCGUGCAGGAUGAAGGCCUUCGGGUUGUAAACUGCUUUUGUACGGAACGAAAAGACUCUGGUUAAUACCUGGGGUCCAUGACGGUACCGUAAGAAUAAGCACCGGCUAACUACGUG
rnacentral:rRNA from 1 species